CCCGCCCCCUUUAGCCUGGGCUUGAGCGCGCGCAGAAGUCAGCUUCGUGACUUCCUUCUCAGGAUGGAACCAGCUUGGUGGCUUGAGGGAAAGGGGUUCUGAGUUGCAAAUCAGAAACUUGAAGAUGAAAUGGCUACUACGCUGGGUAUUGCCUUUAUCUUGAAUGCCAGCCUGAUGGUCCAAGGUGAACAAGCCUUCCUGUGUUUUCUGAAUGUUCCCCCGCACUUUGCCUGCCACCAUGUAAGAUGUGUCUUUGCGCCUCCUUUGCCUUCCACCAUGAUUGUGCGGCCUCCCCAGCCAUGUGGAACGGUGUCUGGGGUCUGUCAGGAUCAACAGGCCUUGAGAGAGACUGACCCAGAGGACUACUAAAAGGGACACCUGCCCAGGCCAGCCUAUUCUACCAUCCUCGUUCUCCUGCAAAACCAAGGCCACGUCAUUUCAGCAGAGGACCUGCGUGUGGAAGGACCCUGCAGCUGGCCCAUCACAGGAGAGGCCCAGACUCACCUCCCAAGGGGACCCUGGCACAUGAAGAUGCUGGUUCUCCUGGGAGUGCUGCCCUGGCCCACAGGAUAGAAGCGCAGGAUGGUCACCCAUGUCUGCUCUUAUUGAAUGUGUCUUAGAAGCGGCUCCAUGUGUGAUUUCUUUCCCACAUUGGUUAGUAUGGUGUAUACCACGUUUGUGUUCCCAGGCUUUUGUUUAAGUUUGUGGGCAGCCCUGACAUCAGCAUCACACUCAAUGCCUGGGCUGAGCAUAUCCGUCAGACCUCCCAACUAGGCCCACUCAUCACAUAGUCCCAUGCUGCACUUCUAGUUCUGCCAGCCACACCCCAUGCUGGUCCUCAGCCUGGAACACCCUCCCCCACCCUCCCUGCUCAGCUGUCCAGCUCCUACUCAUCCUCCGGCCCCAGGGCAAAUUCACUCUUCCACAAAGCCUGACCUCUCUUCAGCCCACAGGAUCUCUCCUGCCUAGGAGCUUGGUUGUGCAUAUUUGUCCUGUGUGCCUUUGACACAGCACAGUCAUCUCUGACUGCCAACAUCUGUUGCUGCCAACAUGGUAUCAGUUAACCCCUGCACUGCCAUUUAACUUUUCCUCUGAAGUUCUUUGAGAAGGGGACCCUGCCUCAUGGGCCCUUUGUAUUGCCAUCCAAUGUGUGUUAGAAUCUAAACAGUUAGAUAAUUAUCAACCUGUGCCUGAGACCUGCAAUGAAUCAAUAUGUAAAUGAAUCAGGGCACUGGUCAGUCUUCCAGCCCCACUUGAUAUUAAAGACUCAGUGAAGAUGGUUAGCAAA
rnacentral:lncRNA from 1 species